rnacentral:rRNA from 1 species
UACAGAGGUCCCAAGCGUUGUUCGGAUUCACUGGGCGUAAAGGGUGCGUAGGUGGCUUGGAAAGUUUGAUGUGAAAGCUCAGGGCUUAACCCUGAAAUGGCAUUGAAUACUAUCGAGCUGGAGGUUUGGAGGGGGGACUGGAAUUCUUGGUGUAGCAGUGAAAUGCGUAGAUAUCGUAAGGAAGACCAGUGGCGAAGGCGGGUCUCUGGACAGUUCCUGACGCUGAGGCACGAAGGUCAGGGGAGCAAACGGG